CUCUACUGCUCCACCAUGCACCCACCGCCCCUCUGGAUCAGGUGCAGGCCGGCCGGUGCGCGCAGGCGGCGGCGCUCCACUCGAGGGCAAAGGGAGGCAACGGCGACGGUGGCCGCCGUGGACACCCGCGGCUAUGACGAACCCCGCCGCCAGGAGGCCGCCACGGAGGCCCAUCCCGAGCUCGGCUUGCCGCUCCUCUUGUGACCCUCGUUGCACCUAGAUCCGGGUCGGGCGGAUCCGACGGAGGAGCCCUCCCAUGGCACCGGCGGCUCUGGAGAUGAGGGCUGCACAGAGGAAGAGGAGCAGCAGCAGCUCGAGGUCCAACUAGCGGCUGUGGCCACGUCUCCUUUUUUGCGCAGCGUGGGGAGAGAUAAGUCCCGAGUGCCCCAUCUCGCCUCUCGCCUUUCCAGUUUCCCCUCGCCUCCGCCAUCGCCUCCUCCCCUCUCCUCUCUCUCCCGUCUCCUCCCCACCCUCUACUGCUCCACCACACACCCACCACCCCUCUGGAUCAGGUGCAGGCCGGCCGGUGCGCGCAGGAGGCGGCACUCCACUCGAGGGCAAAGGGAGGCAACGGCGGCGGUGGCCGCCGUGGACACCCGCGGCUAUGACGAACCCUGCCGCCAGGAGGCCGCCACGGAGGCCCGUCCCGAGCUCGGCUCGCCGAUCCUCCGGUGACCCUCGUUGCACCUAGAUCCGGGUCGGGCGGAUCCGACGGAGGAGCCCUCCCAUGGCACCGGCGGCUCUGGAGAUGAGGGUUGCACAGAGGAAGAGGAGCAGCAGCAGCUCGAGGUCAUUAAGGGAGGAGGCCACAGUCGUCUUACCGCCGCUGCCGAACAGUGAGCGAGAGAAACAACGAUGGUGAGGUCCCCUGCAUCGAUGAGUAGUCGCAGGGAGUCGUCGCCAAGUGCUCCGUCCGCAUCGCCGGAAACAUGCUGCGUGCUCGAGAACGCACGAGUGCCACCACACGUCGCCCACACCCCCUCCUCCGCUCGCUCUCGUCUCCGUCAGGCUGCUGAUGUUCACUGCACUGGAGGGAGAGGACAAGAGUAAGAGAGCAAGAACAAUAGAUGAUUCGGUUAUUUGUGAAACUGACAGCUCUUGUGAGGAGCAAGGAUAGAGAAGGCUAUGAACCAAUGAGAUAAGUUUUAUUUCCAGUUUUUCAAUGAGGAUAUGCCAUAUGUUUAGCUGCUAAUAUUUACAUAUGGUGUACGUAAUAAGUUGUCUUGCUGGCUCUUUAUGUGUAUCGUUUGAAAAAAUUGCGGCACAUGAACAUCAUCUUUAUCCAAAUAUCUUCAGAUAUAACUGACAUCCCAGCAGCGCGUGGGAGCCGGUGUCUUCGGCCAGAGCUGGGUCUCCUUGCCGGCGACCUUGCCAUCACCAGCCUAUCUGCAGUUUUGCAGGGAUGGACAUAUGGAUUGAAUGGUACCCUCCUGAAAUCUACACAGAUGUCAGAUCGGAGAAAGAAGAGAUGAAGAACAAUUUUAAUUGAAGAGUUGAAGAAGACUAAGCACGAGUCCCCCUGAAGUGCUUGACCACCGGCCGGUUGCAGUGGAGGUCAGCAUCACCUCGCUGUGGCCAUCCUGGGCGCCGAGAGAAUUAGCUGAAAAUUCUUGCUGAGAUCCAGGUCACGGGCCAUCCCCAUUCAGGUGGCUAUGAAACUUGUUCCUAACGAAGAUAAAUUUAUGGAGGUGGCUAGGGGAACAGGAGGAGCAAGUUUAGCCUGGCAGGUGCUUCUCAGGUUCGAUGGCUUCCAACAAGGGAGCGAUAUCCAUGCUCUGCAUCAAGGUCGUAGUGCUUUCUUCAUGGGUUCGGCCUUUGCCAUUAAGGUGAGGAAUGUGUAUUUCUGUUCUAUCUAAUGUCUCUUGCUCCUGCUUCAGUAUCGAUGAUCUCUCUGGACUGAUUGUUUGACAAUGACUGUCAUGUACUCCCUCCAUUCCUAUAUAUAAGUCUUUUAUAGAUUCCAAUGCGGACUACAAAGACGAAACUGACUUUUAUGAUCUGUUCUACACAGAUGUUUUCAAUCGCUGUUUGCUAUGGAUACUUUUUUGGUUGCAUAGGCAUACAUGGUUCCGUGAGGAGAUUACCUAUACUGUUCUGUUUUAUAGAUGCCUAAUUAGCUGCGAAGUCAUAUAUGGUCUUAUUAGUAGUUUUUUGAGUUGUGGGUUUACGCAUUUUCCUUGGGAAUGUUUGUAUGUGUGAUCACUUGCUUGCUAUAAGUUUUUUACUCCGCACCAGGUGAUCAAUUAGUGUUUCCAAUUAGUUUGGCAUAUAUUAUCACGUAAAGCCUGUCAGUGAAAUAGGGUUAUAUUUUUACUCCGCACCGGGUGAUCAAUUAGUGUUUGCAAUUAGUUUGGCAUGUAUUAUCACGUAAAGCCUGUCAGUGAAAUAGGGUUAUACAAAAACUAUCUUCGAAUAAUAAUAAUAAUAAUAAUAAUAUUAUUAUUAUUAUUAUUAUUAUUAUUAUUAAAGUGGAUCCUUGUAAUUCUGCUUUACGUCCGUAAAAUAUCCUAGCCGGGUCUGCAAGAUUGUGCCCUCUUUUUACUGAGGGCUUGAAAGUGGUAGAGAAGAUUAAAAGAAGAAGCAUAUCUCCUUUUUUUUGUGCUUCUGCCCGCGCCCUGUAUAUGAUGUUGCAGAUCAAAAUAUAGAUGUUGUCAAUCGGAUAAGAAAAGGCAAGGAGCUGUCCGAUUCAGUAUGUAGUAAUGGGCAUCCAUGUUUUCUUAUACCGGUGAUUCUGAAGCAGUUAAAUUGAUAUGAUCACUUCACUCGUCUCCUAUACUCCUUUAGUCCAUUAUUCCUAGACCAUAUGUUUUUCUUUUGUUAAAACCUUGAAGUUUUAAGUUGUUAGGGUAAAUUCUCUCACAAAUUAUAUGACGUGUUCCUUAAAAAUAGUGUGCUACUACGUUAGUGGAUCACUUGUUUAAGUUCUAGCAGUACCAAGUGUCGUGGAAUUGUCACGGCAGAUGUCCUCGUGGAAGGACUUAGUCGUAGGGCCAUCGCAACUAGGAAGCUUGAAGGGGUUAAAACGGGACAAAGGACACGAGGGUUAUACUGGUUCGGCCCCUUACGGUGAAGGUAAAAGCCUACUCCGGUUGAGGUGGAAUUAUUAGGGUUUCGAUGACCAGGGAGCUAAAUCGCUAUGCCUGGUUAUCGAUCUAUGGUUACUUGUCCUGAACCGCCGCUGGGUCGUCCCUUUAUAUACAGAGGAUAACGCCCAGCGGCUCUCAGAGUCCCGGCCGGCUCAUAAACAGUGUCCGGCUCGUUCUCUUAACUAU